rnacentral:rRNA from 1 species
CCCGCUGAACUUAAGCAUAUCAAUAAGCGGAGGAAAAGAAACUAACAAGGAUUCCCCUAGUAACGGCGAGCGAAGCGGGAAUAGCUCAAAUUUAAAAGCUGGCGGGUUCCCCGUCCGCAUUGUAGUCUAAAGAAGCGUUUUCGGCGGCUGUCCAGGUAUAAAUCCUUUGGAACAGGGUAUCAUAGAGGGUGAGAAUCCCGUCUUUGACCUGGUACGUGCUGCUAUGUGAUACGUUUUCUAAGAGUCGGGUUGUUUGGGAAUGCAGCCCAAAAUGGGUGGUAAAUUUCAUCUAAAGCUAAAUACAGGCGAGAGACCGAUAGCGAACAAGUACCGUGAGGGAAAGAUGAAAAGAACUUUGGAAAGAGAGUUAAACAGUACGUGAAAUUGCUGAAAGGGAAACGCUUGAAGUCAGUCGCGUUGGCCGGGGAUCAACCUUGCUUUUGCUGGGCGUACUUUCCGGUCGACGGGUCAGCAUCAAUUUUGACCGUUGGAUAAAGUCUAGGGGAAUGUAGCAUCUUCGGAUGUGUUAUAGCCCUUGGUCACAUACGACGAUUGGGAUUGAGGAACUCAGCACGCCGCAAGGCCGGGUACUUGUACCACGUUCGUGCUUAGGAUGCUGGCAUAAUGGCUUUAAUCGACCCGUCUUGAAACACGG